rnacentral:rRNA from 1 species
UUAUUGGAGAGUUUGAUCCUGGCUCAGGACGAACGCUGGCGGCGUGCCUAAUACAUGCAAGUCGAGCGAUAUCUUUGGGGGCUUGCCCCCGAAGAUGUAGCGGCGGACGGGUGAGUAACACGUGGGCAACCUGCCUGUAAGACUGGGAUAACUUCGGGAAACCGGAGCUAAUACCGGAUAACUCAAGAAACCACAUGGUUUCUUGCUAAAAGAUGGCUCCGGCUAUCACUUACAGAUGGGCCCGCGGCGCAUUAGCUAGUUGGUGAGGUAAUGGCUCACCAAGGCGACGAUGCGUAGCCGACCUGAGAGGGUGAUCGGCCACACUGGGACUGAGACACGGCCCAGACUCCUACGGGAGGCAGCAGUAGGGAAUCUUCCGCA